AGCUCCAAUAGCGUAUAUUAAAGUUGUUGCGGUAAAAAGCUCGUAGUUGGAUUUCUUCUUAUCUUCGCCGGUCCUUACUUUGUGAGUGUAUCUGGUAGAGGAUUAGAAUCCUCUUGUGGAACAGCUCUGUGCUUGAUUGCAUGGACUGGAACGCAAGACUUUUACUUGAGGAAAUUAGAGUGUUCACGGCAGGCAUUCGCCAUGAAUAUAUUAGCAUGGAAUAAUAAUAUAGGAUCUCGAUUCUAUUUUGUUGGUUUCUAGAAACGAGAUAAUGAUUAAUAGGGACAGUUGGGGGCAUUCGUAUUAGAGCGUCAGAGGUGGAAUUCUUAGAUUGCUCUACGACGAACUACUGCGAAAGCAUUUGCCAAGGAUGUUUUCAUUGAU
rnacentral:rRNA from 1 species